rnacentral:rRNA from 1 species
UACCUGCAGCUCAAGUGGUGGCCGUUAUUAUUGGGCCUAAAACGUCCGUAGCCGGUUUAUUAAAUGCCUGGGUAAAUCGGGCCGCUUAACGGUUCGAAUUCCGGGUAGACUGAUAGACUUGGGACCGGGAGAAGCUAGAGGUACUCCUGGGGUAGAGGUGAAAUUCUGUAAUCCUAGGGGGACCACCAGUGGCGAAGGCGUCUAGCUAGAACGGGUCUGACGGUGAGGGACGAAGCCCUGGGGCGCAAACCGGAUUAGAUACCCGGGUAGUCCAGGGUGUAAACGCUGCUUGCUUGAUGUUAGUCGGGCUCCGAGCCCGAUUAGUGUCGGAGAGAAGUUGUUAAGCAAGCUGCCUGGGAAGUACGGCCGCAAGACUGAAACUUAAAGGAAUUGGCGGGGAGCACAGCAACGGGUGGAGCGUGCGGUU